CAAACGGAGCCACUGAAAGGGACACUACCUGCCUAAAGAGCCCUAGACAGGUGGGCUGUUUUUAUUUUAAAGGAGAUUGAGCAUGCCAAUGAAAGCGUUCAUUUGGAGAUAAAUAUAGGCUGUAAAAAAGUACCCCAGUAACCAGAGAGGGGAAAUGGGGGUCUCCUGAAGAACUCCUGGCAUUAUCCCCCCAUUUUAGGGGUCCCUGGAGGCACCUCUCAGAUUGCCUCAUACAUGGUAGAAAUGUAACAAAGCUUUGCAUCACUGCAUUGAACCGAAAUGAACAGAAUUGACCCAUCUGGACUCAUUGGAACAUCAUGACCACAAUACAACCACAGACAGACCUGUUGCAAAUUCUGAAAUGAUCAACUGCCCCCUUCCUGCUGGACACUCUCUGUUCCCUUGACUUCAGUAAAUGAGCAUUAUUUAGUGGGUGAGAGACAGUGCUACAAGAAUGGAUGGAGCAAGUGCAAAAUAAUCAGCAAACCGUGCAGACUUGGAACACUGUUAUGUCUUUUUCUCAUCUCCUAAAUAGUUUUCAAAAUUUGUUGAUGAACUUCACCAAAUUCAACCCCGGCAGGUGCUGGUGCAUUUAGUUUCCCAGAGUUCAAGUCGAUUCAGGACUGGUUGCCUUUCCUCACAGCAUGCUCAUGCCACUGGCUUCCAUAAAAGAUAACCUUUUUGUAAUUGAAAAAUAUAAUCAUCCCUGAGCUUUCAAAGGUGUCCGUCUGUUGCUGAUUGAGCACAAGGAGUUAAUUUGGAUUAAUGGAUAAAUAAAACUGCCCCCUCCCCGCCUCGCCCACUUCCCCUGACAGCUCACUCCUAGGAUCGGUCCAAACCUUCAAUGGAAGCUUAUUUCAGGACCAGAGGCUUACCUUAAGAUAGCAAAAACUAUCGUGCUGCUUGGACAAUCGGGGAGUUAACUUCUCCGAGCAAGCAGAGUUAGGGAAGUGGAUUACUUAUUUUUUUUUAAACUGUUUUCCCUGCCUGCCAGUGCUACUUUAUUGAUUCAACUUAUGGACCAGGGUGUUAUCCAGACUAUGUAAAAUACUUGUUCAUUGAUUGAUAUCAAGGCGAAGGUCUAGCUCAGAGAUUUAAGGCCACUGGUUAAUUUGUCUUCCUAGAAUGCUGCUGCGAGAUUGCUCUAACAUGCAAUUCUUCACCGGCUUCAUUUGCUCCUGCUACUGCUUAAUUAGAAUCAAAAAAAGAUAAUCCACCGAACACACUGUGGCAGGAGGGGAAAAAACAAACCUCUUUAUUUUAUUUUAUUUUUCCUCUCUGCUGAAUGUGUCCUAUUUGGUUUCGGCUUUACAAUAACAAUUUAAACCAACGGCAUUUAGAGGAGAGGGAAGUUCCUACCUAGCAGUUUGUAACAGAAUCAUCCAGCCACAGAGUAUUUUAAAUGGAUGGGACAUUAGAAAUAAUCUCGUACCAUGUUCACUUUUUACACAUGGGGAAACUGAGUUUCAGGGAGAUUCCCCCCCCCAAUACACUAAGACAUUGUUUAAGAAUCCACAUUCCAUGGUACAUUAUAUACAUAUAUAUAUAUAUUUCAAUUCAGAGGCAGGUUUUAAAAUUUUUAUCAUAUAAUAAAUUAAUUGGAACUGAUCCAGUCUACCUGAAUUUGAGUUCUGACUCUAGCCACUGAUUUGCAGCUCUAAGACCCAUGUCAGUCAAAGCUCUAAGCUUGUAUCCAGAUACUUUUCAUCCAGGAGAGGAAAAAAAUUCUUUAGUCAAUGCCAGAACAAAAAUAUUGAAAUAAGCAAUAUUUGGAAGCAAAAAUGAAAAGGGGACAAGGUAGAGUUGCUGAAGAAUUUGUUUGCUAAAACCUGGAUCUAUUAAAAAGGGUAGACUCUGGUGGGGUGGCUCUCAUCUGAACGACUUAAAUUUAAAAAAAAAGAUAAUUGAGACAAAAGUGGUUUACCAAUUUGAAAUUUUAGAUUUUGAUCCAGUGCAUUCUGUACCCACCUGAG